AGAGUUUGAUCCUGGCUCAGGACGAACGCUGGCGGCGUGCUUAACACAUGCAAGUCGAACGAUGAAGCCUAGCUUGCUAGGUGGAUUAGUGGCGAACGGGUGAGUAAUACGUGAGUAACCUACCUUUAACUCUGGGAUAAGCCUGGGAAACUGGGUCUAAUACCGGAUACGACCAAUCUCCGCAUGGGGUGUUGGUGGAAAGCGUUAUGUAGUGGUUAUAGAUGGGCUCACGGCCUAUCAGCUUGUUGGUGAGGUAACGGCUCACCAAGGCGACGACGGGUAGCCGGCCUGAGAGGGUGACCGGCCACACUGGGACUGAGACACGGCCCAGACUCCUACGGGAGGCAGCAGUGGGGAAUAUUGCACAAUGGGCGCAAGCCUGAUGCAGCGACGCCGCGUGAGGGAUGACGGCCUUCGGGUUGUAAACCUCUGUUAGCAGGGAAGAAGAGAGAUUGACGGUACCUGCAGAGAAAGCGCCGGCUAACUACGUGCCAGCAGCCGCGGUAAUACGUAGGGCGCGAGCGUUGUCCGGAAUUAUUGGGCGUAAAGAGCUUGUAGGCGGUUUGUCGCGUCUGCUGUGAAAGGCCGGGGCUUAACUCCGUGUAUUGCAGUGGGUACGGGCAGACUAGAGUGCAGUAGGGGAGACUGGAACUCCUGGUGUAGCGGUGGAAUGCGCAGAUAUCAGGAAGAACACCGAUGGCGAAGGCAGGUCUCUGGGCUGUAACUGACGCUGAGAAGCGAAAGCAUGGGGAGCGAACAGGAUUAGAUACCCUGGUAGUCCAUGCCGUAAACGUUGGGCACUAGGUGUGGGGGACAUUCCACGUUUUCCGCGCCGUAGCUAACGCAUUAAGUGCCCCGCCUGGGGAGUACGGCCGCAAGGCUA
rnacentral:rRNA from 1 species